rnacentral:rRNA from 1 species
AACGAACGCUGGCGGCAGGCUUAACACAUGCAAGUCGAGCGAGACCUUCGGGUCUAGCGGCGGACGGGUGAGUAACGCGUGGGAACGUGCCCUUCUCUACGGAAUAGCCCCGGGAAACUGGGAGUAAUACCGUAUACGCCCUUUGGGGGAAAGAUUUAUCGGAGAAGGAUCGGCCCGCGUUGGAUUAGGUAGUUGGUGGGGUAAUGGCCCACCAAGCCGACGAUCCAUAGCUGGUUUGAGAGGAUGAUCAGCCACACUGGGACUGAGACACGGCCCAGACUCCUACGGGAGGCAGCAGUGGGGAAUCUUAGACAAUGGGGGCAACCCUGAUCUAGCCAUGCCGCGUGAGUGAUGAAGGCCUUAGGGUUGUAAAGCUCUUUCAGCUGGGAAGAUAAUGUCGGUACCAGCAGAAGAAGCCCCGGCUAACUCCGUG